UCUUGUUGAGGGGCAUGUCGUGUGGCCCGAGACCGGUUCAUGGCCGUCGAUCGGUCGGCUAAUGUCGCCGGCGGCGCGCGUCAGUGGAUGGUCUCGGACCAGGCUUCAUUCCCCCCAACGGC
rnacentral:pre_miRNA from 1 species